UUGGUGCUUGCAUCAUGAUUUACAUUUGAGUGAGUGGCGAACUGGUGAGUAACACGUGGGAAACCUGCCCAGAAGCGGGGGAUAACACCUGGAAACAGAUGCUAAUACCGCAUAACAACUUGGACCGCAUGGUCCGAGUUUGAAAGAUGGCUUCGGCUAUCACUUUUGGAUGGUCCCGCGGCGUAUUAGCUAGAUGGUGGGGUAACGGCUCACCAUGGCAAUGAUACGUAGCCGACCUGAGAGGGUAAUCGGCCACAUUGGGACUGAGACACGGCCCAAACUCCUACGGGAGGCAGCAGUAGGGAAUCUUCCACAAUGGACGAAAGUCUGAUGGAGCAACGCCGCGUGAGUGAAGAAGGGUUUCGGCUCGUAAAACUCUGUUGUUAAAGAAGAACAUAUCUGAGAGUAACUGUUCAGGUAUUGACGGUAUUUAACCAGAAAGCCACGGCUAACUACGUGCCAGCAGCCGCGGUAAUACGUAGGUGGCAAGCGUUGUCCGGAUUUAUUGGGCGUAAAGCGAGCGCAGGCGGUUUUUUAAGUCUGAUGUGAAAGCCUUCGGCUCAACCGAAGAAGUGCAUCGGAAACUGGGAAACUUGAGUGCAGAAGAGGACAGUGGAACUCCAUGUGUAGCGGUGAAAUGCGUAGAUAUAUGGAAGAACACCAGUGGCGAAGGCGGCUGUCUGGUCUGUAACUGACGCUGAGGCUCGAAAGUAUGGGUAGCAAACAGGAUUAGAUACCCUGGUAGUCCAUACCGUAAACGAUGAAUGCUAAGUGUUGGAGGGUUUCCGCCCUUCAGUGCUGCAGCUAACGCAUUAAGCAUUCCGCCUGGGGAGUACGGCCGCAAGGCUGAAACUCAAAGGAAUUGACGGGGGCCCGCACAAGCGGUGGAGCAUGUGGUUUAAUUCGAAGCUACGCGAAGAACCUUACCAGGUCUUGACAUACUAUGCAAAUCUAAGAGAUUAGACGUUCCCUUCGGGGACAUGGAUACAGGUGGUGCAUGGUUGUCGUCAGCUCGUGUCGUGAGAUGUUGGGUUAAGUCCCGCAACGAGCGCAACCCUUAUUAUCAGUUGCCAGCAUUAAGUUGGGCACUCUGGUGAGACUGCCGGUGACAAACCGGAGGAAGGUGGGGAUGACGUCAAAUCAUCAUGCCCCUUAUGACCUGGGCUACACACGUGCUACAAUGGAUGGUACAACGAGUUGCGAACUCGCGAGAGUAAGCUAAUCUCUUAAAGCCAUUCUCAGUUCGGAUUGUAGGCUGCAACUCGCCUACAUGAAGUCGGAAUCGCUAGUAAUCGCGGAUCAGCAUGCCGCGGUGAAUACGUUCCCGGGCCUUGUACACACCGCCCGUCACACCAUGAGAGUUUGUAACACCCAAAGUCGGUGGGGUAACCUUUUAGGAACCA
rnacentral:rRNA from 1 species